rnacentral:tRNA from 1 species
AUUUAUAUAGUAUAAUAAUUACAUUAGGCCUCCAACCUAAUAAUCUAGAAAUAGUAUAAAUA